GACGAACGCUGGCGGCGUGCUUAACACAUGCAAGUCGAACGGAAAGGCCCUGCUUUUGUGGGGUGCUCGAUUGGCGAACGGGUGAGUAACACGUGAGUAACCUGCCCUUGACUUUGGGAUAACUUCAGGAAACUGGGGCUAAUACCGGAUAGGAGCUCCUGCUGCAUGGUGGGGGUUGGAAAGUUUCGGCGGUUGGGGAUGGACUCGCGGCUUAUCAGCUUGUUGGUGGGGUAGUGGCUUACCAAGGCUUUGACGGGUAGCCGGCCUGAGAGGGUGACCGGGGACAUGGGGACUGAGAUACGGCGCAGACUGCUACGGGAGGCAGCGGUGGGGAAUCUUGCACAAUGGGCGGAAGCCUGAUGCAGCAACGCCGGGUGCGGGAAGACGGCCUUCUGGUUGUAAACCGCUUUCGCCUGUGACGAAGCGUGAGUGACGGUAAUGGGUAAAGAAGCACCGGCUAACUACGUG
rnacentral:rRNA from 1 species